rnacentral:rRNA from 1 species
ACGGGAGGCAGCAGUGGGGAAUAUUGGACAAUGGGGGAAACCCUGAUCUAGCGACGCCGCGUGAGUGAAGAAGUAUUUCGGUACGUAAAGCUCUAUCAGCAGGGAAGAAAAUGACGGUACCUGACUAAGAAGCCCCGGCUAACUACGUGCCAGCAGCCGCGGUAAUACGUAGGGGGCAAGCGUUAUCCGGAUUUACUGGGUGUAAAGGGAGCGUAGACGGUAUGGCAAGUCUGAAGUGAAAGCCCGCGGCUUAACUGCGGGACUGCUUUGGAAACUGUCAGACUAGAGUGUCGGAGAGGUGAGUGGAAUUCCCAGUGUAGCGGUGAAAUGCGUAGAUAUUGGGAGGAACACCGGAGGCGAAGGCGGCUCACUGGACGAUAACUGACGUUGAGGCUCGAAAGCGUGGGGAGCAAACAGGAUUAGAUACCCUGGUA